GUGGAGAGGAAGGAAGUGUGUGGGGGUUGGGGGGGAAGGGGGUGCUGACAUGGUAGAAUCCAUAGUGAGUCUUUCCGCAGCGAACCGGACACCCACGCCGUGUGUUAUCUGAGGGUGAAGCAUGGGAGCCAAAAGAGUUACACUACAGUGCUCCCAGGAUUCUUGAACGGACUCUAUUGCCCAGGGGCUUAGGGGAUCUUUUUGUUGAGUGGUAAGAGGGAGAGCAAAACAGUAGCUCUUGUAGCUGUUGGGGCUGGGCUGAUUGCAAGAGCCAGAGAGUGUAGUCCUGCUGCCUCCCGGGAUUCUAAAAAGGAACCACUGGCAGACUUGCCAACUCUUCGAGAAGGAGGUGUGGCAGAGGGAUCUGCUCUCUGAGAUGACAGCCAAGGACUCCAGGUGGCCAACACAUUAAAAAUCAAAGCCCAGAUGCAGUAAAUCCAUGAUUCUUAUGUAGAGAGCUUUGAGGCUCAGCACGAAAGACAUUGCCACUUAAGAACAUUAAUAAGAGAUCCGAGAUAGUGAGAAUUAGCCCAUUUAGGAAACAUUUGGGGAACGGUUGUCACUGUGCCUUGAAAGUAGACUGCAUGAAAGGGAUUUUUGAGGGGAGAGGGAAGAAAGCGAUUUGCCAAAUAGGAACAGAUCCACCAAAGUUAGGGUUCAGGACCACGGACAGCGACCUACCUUCUGUUCUUGGGUAUUGGGAUUUACUGUCAGCAGGAGGGUUCUCUCCACAGCAAGUCCAAGCAGGGUGUCUGAGUUUUUAUACCAGGACCCCAUUCAUUUAUUAAGGAGCUCAGCAAAUAUAAAUAACUGCGUUUCUGAAACCAGCCAUCAUCAUUCAUGUGUCCAGAAAAGAAUAUUUAGAGCCUUCUUUAUGAACUCAACCACUCUUUACAGGUCAGAAGAAAAGAGAAUUGAGUGAUUAAGUUCUACUAACUUCUAUCAAAAAGUUGUCAAUUACUCAAAAGGAAAGACAUGCUAUGUUCAUGAGUGAGAAAGCUCACAUCAGCUCACCCAAACUGAUUUAUAGAGUCAGCAUAAUACCAAUCAAAGUCUCAGCACUUUUCUUGUGAAAAUUAACAAGGUGAUCCUAAAAUCCAUGUGAAAAUACAAAGGAUCUGAAAUAGCCCAUGCACUUUUGAAAAAGAAAAACAAAAUUGGAAGAUUGAAACCAACUGAUUUCAGGAAUUAAAAAGCUAUAGUAACAUAGAUAACAGAGUACUAGCCUCAAAUUAUAGAAAUAAAUUAAUGGAACAUAAUGAAGGAUUUAGAAAUAGAAUAACACAUAUUAUUUCAGUUGAUUUUUUAUAAAAAUGCAAACUCCCUCAUCAUUAUACAAAAUACAUGUAUGAAUAUGUGAAUUUGGUGUCAACAUACCUUAUAUAU